rnacentral:rRNA from 1 species
UUUUAAUGGUCGAACAGACCAACCUUUAGUAACUGCUGCAUUACUGGGGUAACUUAAUUCAACAUCGAGGUGUCAAACUUCAUCUUCGAUUUCAUCUCUAAGAUAAAAUUAACCUGUUAUCCCUAAAGUAGCUUUUAUUUAUAAAAUGUCAUUUCUUUUUUUUGAAAUUGACAGGUCUUUUUUACCACUUUGUGAUUGUUAAAUAGAUAAAUUAAACAAUAACUUAAAAAUAAAUAAUAAUAUUACAUUUUUUAAAUUUAAAAUGCUGUUGCCCCAACCAAACUACCUUUUAUAAAGUUUUUCCCAAAGACAUUCUUGACUAUGGAAUAUUUUAAAAAUAUAGUUAAGCUUUUAGGGUCUUCUCGUCUUACAGUUUUAAAUAGCAUCUUCACUAUUAUUUAAAUUUUUUUUGUUUAUAUUUAAGACAGUGGAAACAUCGUAAAACCAUUCACCUACGUUCAUCAAUUAAAUGACUAUUUAUUUUCCUACAUUAGCACCGUCAAGAAUACAGCGGCCGUUAAGUUUUUAAAAAAGAAUUUUCUUUUUUUAUAUAAAAACCACCGGGCAGGUCUCACCUUUUAAUAGAAAAAAAAAAGGCUAUGUUUUUGGUAAA